rnacentral:rRNA from 1 species
UAAUACGUAGGGGGCAAGCGUUGUCCGGAAUCAUUGGGCGUAAAGAGCGUGUAGGCGGCCCGGUAAGUCCGUUGUGAAAGUCGAGGGCUCAACCCUCGAAUGCCGGCGGAUACUGUCGGGCUAGAAUCCGGAAGAGGCGAGUGGAAUUCCUGGUGUAGCGGUGAAAUGCGCAGAUAUCAGGAGGAACACCAAUGGCGAAGGCAGCUCGCUGGGACGGUAUUGACGCUGAGACGCGAAAGCGUGGGGAGCAAACAGGAUUAGAUACCCUGGUAGUCCACGCCGUAAACGAUGGACACUAGGUGUGGGAGGUGUCGACUCCUUCCGUGCCGAAGCUAACGCAUUAAGUGUCCCGCCUGGGGAGUACGGCCGCAAGGCUA